AGGACGACGAUGACUGUUGCGGACUUACUGGUCGCUUUUUACAGGAGCAGCUUGUGUUUCGUUGACGAGUGGCGGACGGGUGAGUAAUGUCUGGGAAGCUGCCUGAUGGAGGGGGAUAACUACUGGAAACGGUAGCUAAUACCGCAUAAUGUCGCAAGCCCAAAGAGGGGGACCUUCGGGCCUCUUGCCAUCGGAUGCGCCCAGAUGGGAUUAGCUUGUUGGUGGGGUAACGGCUCACCAAGGCGACGAUCCCUAGCUGGUCUGAGAGGAUGACCAGCCACACUGGAACUGAGACACGGUCCAGACUCCUACGGGAGGCAGCAGUGGGGAAUAUUGCACAAUGGGCGCAAGCCUGAUGCAGCCAUGCCGCGUGUAUGAAGAAGGCCUUCGGGUUGUAAAGUACUUUCAGCGGGGAGGAAGGGAGUAAAGUUAAUACCUUUGCUCAUUGACGUUACCCGCAGAAGAGCACCGGCUAACUCCGUGCCAGCAGCCGCGGUAAUACGGGAGGGUGCAAGCGUUAAUCGGAAUUACUGGGCGUAAAGCGCACGCAGGCGGUUUGUUAAGUCAGAUGUGAAAUCCCCGGGCUCAACCUGGGAACUGCAUCUGAUACUGGCAAGCUUGAGUCUCGUAGAGGGGGGGUAGAAUUCCAGGCGUAGCGGUGAAAUGCGUAGAGAUCUGGAGGAAAUACCGGUGGCGAAGGCGGCCCCCUGGACGAAAGACUGACGCUCAGGUGCGAAAGCUGUGGGGAGCAAACAGGAUUAGAUACCUCUGGCUAGUCCAACGCGUAUACGAUGUCGACUUGGAGGUUGUGCCCUUGGAGCGUGGCUUCCGGAGCUAACGCGUUAGUCGACCGCUUGGUGAGUACGGCCGCAAGUUAAAUCUCAGA
rnacentral:rRNA from 1 species